CUGACGUGGACUCUUGCUGCUGCUGUCUAGCUUUUCUUCCGCUAGCCCAACCUAUGGCUUCCACAGCUCAAUUUGUGUACUUGUCUACCAGGCCGCCUUCCAAAAAUGUUUCCAAAAAAACCCUGCAAAAGGAAGAAUGAAUUUAGUGAAUAGCAGUUUCUCACGUUGCUCAUCGCUUUGAGAUGCUACUCCGUGCACACUGUUUUAAAAGGAAACUCCCCAUCUUUUGACAUCAAUAGUUUCUCAUCCGGGAUUGGAAAGUAUUUGUAAGAUUCCAAGCUUCACAAGAAAAAGAAGGAAAAAAAAAAAAGCACCACCUCUGGAACAAUCCACUUCUCAGAGUCUCCAUUCCUGUGUGAGGGAAAUUCUUCUUAGAUACAAUCUGAGCCGUGGGAGAACUCCUUGAUUCUAUCUUUCAAAUUCAUGGCCUCUUUUUUCAUUAAUUGUUGUUACACACGUGUGUGUGUGUGUGUGUGUGUGUGUGUGUGUGUGUGUUCCAAAACACAUAAAUAUAUACUCAGUCUGAACAAUACUGUGUGUAUGUUUUCAGGGCUGAUCAUUUGGUAUUACUUAACCAAUUGGUAUACUCUUCCCUGGGAGAAACUUUUUUUUGUUUUUUGUUUUUGUUUUCUUUUUUGUUUUUUUGGUUGUUGUUUGUUUGUUUGUUUUUUGUUUGUUUGGUUGUUUGUUUGUUUGUUUGUUUGGUUGGUUGGUUGGUUCGUUGGUUUGGGUUUUUUUGUUUUGUUUUUCAAGACAGGAUUUCUCUCUCUGGCUUUGGAGCCUCUCCUGGAACUUGCUCUGUAGACCAGGCUGGCCUCAAACUCACAGAGAUUUGGGGGGGGGGGGACUAUUUCUACCCAUUUCAGCUUUCCUUAGUUGCCUAUAGUUCUUUGUGUAGGGGCUUUCCCCUGUCAUAUUAGCAUAUCUAUUGACGUCAUCCUUAUCCAGCUCAUGUUUAGGCAAUCAUGAGACUUUGUAGGUGUAGCUUCUGACAUGACAUUUCUAGAAAACACAAUCUCACAGCAAACUUCCUGGUCCUCUGGCUCUUAUAGUCUUUGCU
rnacentral:lncRNA from 1 species